rnacentral:rRNA from 1 species
CUUAGAGUUUGAUCCUGGCUCAGGAUGAACGCUGGCGGUAUGCUUAACACAUGCAAGUCGAACGGUGUCUUCGGACAUAGUGGCGGACGGGUGAGUAACGCGUGAGAAUCUAGCUUCAGGUCUGGGACAACCACUGGAAACGGUGGCUAAUACCGGAUGUGCCGGAAGGUGAAAGGCUUGCUGCCUGAAGAUGAGCUCGCGUCCGAAUAACUAGUAGGUGGGGUAAGAGCCUACCAAGGCGACGAUCGGUCGCUGGUCUGAGAGGAUGACCAGCCACACGGGGACUGAGACACGGCCCAGACUCCUACGGGAGGCAGCAGUGGGGAAUUUUCCGCAAUGGGCGAAAGCCUGACGGAGCAAUACCGCGUGAGGGAGGAAGGCUCUUGGGUUGUAAACCUCUUUUCUCAGGGAAGAACACAAUGACGGUACCUGAGGAAUCAGCAUCGGCUAACUCCGUGCCAGCAGCCGCGGUAAUACGGAGGAUGCAAGCGUUAUCCGGAAUGAUUGGGCGUAAAGCGUCCGCAGGUGGCUGUGUAAGUCUGCUGUCAAAGAGCAAAGCUCAACUUUGUAAAGGCAGUGGAAACUACACGGCUAGAGUGCGUUCGGGGCAGAGGGAAUUCCUGGUGUAGCGGUGAAAUGCGUAGAGAUCAGGAAGAACACCGGUGGCGAAGGCGCUCUGCUAGGCCGCAACUGACACUGAGGGACGAAAGCUAGGGGAGCGAAUAAGAUUAGAUACCCCAGUAGUCCUAGCUGUAAACGAUG